GUAUGUGAAAAAUUGCCUUAAAAUUUUACCAGUAAAGCAGUGAGAACUGAACAGCAGAGUUGUCUAAGGAAGGUGCAGAGAUCUGGAAUGACUUCUAAGAGAUAUUCCUUAAAGUCAAAAAACAGAAGGUGGAUGAGAAGUUAUCUGUGGGUCCCCAAAUCUCCAUUUUGAAAGGACUGGAAUAUAAAGCAGAAGGGGGACUUGAGAGUUCUUGUCCACAGUUGCUCAACUCUGUCCAGGCUGCGCAGUAAAUUAGAGCAGGAGCAGGUCGUGCGGCGGAAGAAGGAUCUAGCAGAAGGUGCCUGACUGUGGGGCGUUGCAGAAGAUCAGACCCCUGGGAGCCCCGGCCCAGCUUAAACCUGCUGUGGCGACUGAAGACCAGGAUCAGAGCCAGGUUUGAGGAAAUGUGACGCCUCCCGGUACAGUAGGCUGAAUGACGUUUAUGUCCUAAUCCCCGAACCUACAAUCUCCUCCAACAGUUCUGGGCUGCAGCCGUGUAAAGCAAAGAGCAGGAACACAAAACAAACAUUGUCUGAAAAUUCCCUGAGUGAGGCAUUUUAAAAGGAAUAAUGAAGAUGCGGCCCUGUGUUUCGUUGGUUUGAAUCCUGGGCGCGGACAUGGCACUGCUCGUCAAACCACGCUGAGGCAGUGUCCCACAUGCCACAACUAGAAGGACCCACAACGAAGAAUAUACAACUAUGUAGCGGGGGGCUUU
rnacentral:lncRNA from 1 species